GACCCCAGGUCAGGCGGGGCCACCCGCUGAGUUUAA
rnacentral:rRNA from 4 species